AAAUUGACAAACCAUCCCAGAUGCAAGUGACCGAUGUUCAGGACAACAGCAUUAGUGUCAAGUGGCUGCCUUCAAGUUCCCCUGUUACUGGUUACAGAGUAACCACCACUCCCAAAAAUGGACCAGGACCAACAAAAACUAAAACUGCAGGUCCAGAUCAAACAGAAAUGACUAUUGAAGGCUUGCAGCCCACAGUGGAGUAUGUGGUUAGUGUCUAUGCUCAGAAUCCAAGCGGAGAGAGUCAGCCUCUGGUUCAGACUGCAGUAACCAUGUCAAGCAAGGAAUUUACAGAGAAAGAAGUUGUGAAACCACCAUAACAUUGAUCGCCCUAAAGGACUGGCAUUCACUGAUGUGGAUGUCGAUUCCAUCAAAAUUGCUUGGGAAAGCCCACAGGGGCAAGUUUCCAGGUACAGGGUGACCUACUCGAGCCCUGAGGAUGGAAUCCAUGAGCUAUUCCCUGCACCUGAUGGUGAAGAAGACACUGCAGAGCUGCAAGGCCUCAGACCGGGUUCUGAGUACACAGUCAGUGUGGUUGCCUUGCACGAUGAUAUGGAGAGCCAGCCCCUGAUUGGAACCCAGUCCACAGCUAUUCCUGCACCAACUGACCUGAAGUUCACUCAGGUCACACCCACAAGCCUGAGCGCCCAGUGGACACCACCCAAUGUUCAGCUCACUGGAUAUCGAGUGCGGGUGACCCCC
rnacentral:sRNA from 1 species